GAGAGGGUGACCGGCCACACUGGGACUGAGACACGGCCCAGACUCCUACGGGAGGCAGCAGUGGGGAAUAUUGGACAAUGGGCGGAAGCCUGAUCCAGCAACGCCGCGUGAGGGAUGACGGCCUUCGGGUUGUAAACCUCUUUCAGCACAGACGAAGCUGACUCCACGUGUGGGGUGGGUGACGGUAUGUGCAGAAGAAGCACCGGCCAACUACGUGCCAGCAGCCGCGGUAAUACGUAGGGUGCGAGCGUUGUCCGGAAUUAUUGGGCGUAAAGGGCUCGUAGGCGGUUUGUCGCGUCGGGAGUGAAAUCCACUGGCUUAACUGGUGGCUUGCUUUCGAUACGGGCAGACUGGAGGUAUGCAGGGGAGAACGGAAUUCCUGGUGUAGCGGUGAAAUGCGCA
rnacentral:rRNA from 1 species